UAGCGGGUGGAACACCCGCAUGGCAAGGCGUAGCGAGCCACCAUUAGCGAGUCUUGGGUUCUGACUGGUAACAGUCAGGGCUAAGCGUAGACAGUUAGGGAGCAGGGUUGUAAUGCUA
rnacentral:autocatalytically_spliced_intron from 1 species